AAUAACCUGCCGCGUUCGCUACCGGCCAUGUCUUUCGCUAGGGGUUUUGUUCCGUUUUGCUCUGCCCGCUGCUGUUAAAGUGUUAUAGACAUUGUCUUAUUUCCCACGAUUUUUUAUUCUCCGACCUGGCCUCCCCGCACUAUUGCAGAAAUGCUAGUGCUAUACCAACGGACGGCGUAGGACUUCAGAUGGGGAUGAGCGGCACAAUCUCCAGGGGCUUCCGAGAUGUCUUGGGUGUUGCGGCCUGUGCUCCUGUAAAAAGGCAGUGGAAUUGCUUUCUUGCUCUCACUGGCCGGCCGGAAGGAUUCAACAAGCUUUACUCUGAAAUGAAUACACGAUUUUAACACUGGCGUCCACGAAGACUCAACAAAAGACACCUUCAUUACUUCGGAAGGCCUCCGGGUCAGCUACCCCAUUACAGCUCCAGGAGGAGAGGACUGCUUUUGAACGACUCGCGCCUGCUGCGUCGCAUCUGGAGGCAGAGACUCUGCGCGGAGCCGAGCGGUGCCGCCGGGAGAGCGCGUGGGACGGGAGCCGCCGUUGCAGGUUGGAGUGCACGGGCUGCCCGUUGCGGGCAGGCUCCCCGGCAGGGCCAGCACGCGUAGCCUGGCCGCUGAGCACCGCGCCGGCCCGCCACAGCAUGUCCCUCCGUGGGCAUGCGCUGGCCC
rnacentral:lncRNA from 1 species